AAUGAACGCUGGCGGCAUGCCUAACACAUGCAAGUCGAACGAACACACGGGGAGCUUUCGCUCCUGAGGGUAGCGGGGGACGGGUGAGUAACACGUGGAUAGCAUACCUCUAAGACUUGGAUGAUAACGGGGAACCGGAUCUACUAACGGAUAAUAUAUCGAACCGCAGGGUGCAAUAGUUAAAGACGGUUUUGGUGUCAGUAAUAGCCGAAUCCGGGCCGGAUUAGCUAGUGGGUAAGGUAACGGCCUACCAAGGCUACGAUGCGUAGCCGACCUGAGAGGGUGAUCGGCCACACUGGAACUGAGACACGGUCCAGACUCCUACGGGAGGCAGCAGUAGGGAAUCUUCCGCAAUGGGCGAAAGCCUGAUGGAGCAACACCGCGUGAGUGAUGAAGGUCUUCGGAUCGUAAAGCUCUGUUGUUAGGAAAGAAAAAAAGCGUAUUUAACCAUGCACGUCUUGACGGUACCUAAAGAAUAAGCCCCGGCUAACUACGUG
rnacentral:rRNA from 1 species